AGCCCACGGUUCACAGUUUCAGAUGCUGGGCAUGGACGAGUAGGUCCACCGCUCAUCAAGCCAUGCUGAGGCGGCAUCCCACAUAGAA